GACAAGGAACCCUCUCUGCUGGGUGGAUUUCACCCAUGCACGCCGCCCCCACCACUCACCACUCACGUCCUUCCCCAAUCCUGCCUCCCCAACGCAGACUGAGCUGAUUCUUUAUCCCAUGACCAGGUUCUAUCGGCUCUGAAAAUAGAAGGGACCACAAGAGCCCAAGCACCGAGCGCCCUCAGGUGAGCUCCUGGUGUUCACCCAACUCCUUCUCCUCCCUCCCGCGUCCCCCGGGAACGCUUUCUCUGAGCGGGCGCCAAAGAGGACUGCCUCAGGGAGUCGCGGGCGGACGCUUCGCAGCGCAACCUGGGCACCCAGUGAACAUUUUCUGGAACAGCCCGGCAAGGUCACCUGCUCCCGCUGCUCCGCUCGCUCCGCUGGGAUGGGAGAAAAUGGAACUGGCUCAGGCAAUUAUGGAAGCUGACAAGUCCCAAGAUCUGCAGAGUGGGCUGGCAAGCUGGAGACCCAGGAGAGCCAAUGACUUAGUUCCAAUCUAAGUUUGAGGGCUUGAGAACCAGGGACUGCAAGCUCUGUCCUCUGUUUGGUGGUUAAGGGGCACAAACAUUUAGGAUCAUCACAUCCUCUUGAUGAAGCGAUCCUUUUGUCUUUUUGAAAUGAAUCUAUCUCUGGUAAACUCUUUGCUCUGAAAUAAAUUUU